GUCAGCUCAGGCCCGCAGAGCCAGUCGAGAGUCCGCAGUGCAGAGAGCCGGCACCCCAGCCACUGCACGACCCCCACCAACGGCACAAUGAGGCCUCUGAGCACCCGCUCUCCAUCCUUCUGGAGGACCUUGAGGGAAGAGUCUGGGAACCCCGGGGGAAGUGAGAGGAGGUGCUUGGACUAGAGAAAGCAAAUGCCUCUCAAAUUCACAUUCCCUCAGCAAAUGAAAAACUGAACGUGAUUAGAUACUUGGUAAGAGUCCAGCCCCUGGGAUGGCUCAGCAGGUAAAGACACUUGCUACCUACCAAGCCUGAGUUCCAUGUCCUAGAUCCACACAAACCAUCAGAUUCCUGCAAGUUGUCCCCGGACUUCUGUGCACAUACCAUGCCAUGUGCACACCCACAUCCACGAAGUAAAUAAAUGUAAUGAAAAUAAUUUCAAGAACACAGCCCCUGAAGCCGCCAGACAGAUUUUUACCAGAAGAAAACAUCUCUACUGUACACUCAGGAACACUUCAGAGUUAGUUGUACAAUGUCAGCUGAAGCCUGUGAAGCUGGUCACAGAGCUUGAUGACACCGCUUCAGAUUGCAAAAUGCAAGGCAUUUUUAUUCAAAAGUGUUUGCAUUAAAAUAUACUUUGGUUUGUUUCUAAAGA